AUUGAACGCUGGCGGCAGGCCUAACACAUGCAAGUCGAGCGAGCGGCGGACGGGUGAGUAAUGUCUGGGAAACUGCCUGAUGGAGGGGGAUAACUACUGGAAACGGUAGCUAAUAACGCAUACCAUCAGAUGUGCCCACAUGGGAUUAGCUAGUAGGUGGGGUAACGGCUCACCUAGGCGACGAACCCUAGCUGGUCUUAGAGGAUGACCAGCCACUCUGGAACUGACACACGGGCAAGACUCCUACGGGAGGCAGCAGUGGGACAUAUGGCACAAUGGACGCAAGCCUGAUGCAGCGCUGCCGCGUGUGUGAAGAAUGCCUUCGGGUUGUAAAGCAAUUUCAGCGGUGAGGCGUUGCCCGCAUAAGAAGCACCGGCUAACUCCGUGCCAGCAGCCGCGGUAAUAC
rnacentral:rRNA from 1 species